GAAGAAUGAAUACAAUCACUGAAACUCACGUGAUUUCUAUCCUGCUCCGCCCUAGACCGGUAGUGACGUGUACAACCAGGCGCAUGCUGAGCUGUACUUCCUGUCGUUGACGUCAAGAAAGGAAAUGACGCAUAGGCCGCGGAGCCGGAACUGGGUGGAGGAGGACGUGUUGUCCGGAUCGGGAUCUUUAGGUAAAGGAGUGGCUCACUUUCGGGGCUCUUCGCGGUCUCGGUGAUCUCUCCUCCUUGUGACCGGUUAGCACGCAGUGUGACUGGACAUCAGUUCCUGUGCUCUGCUGAUUAACGCUCUAAAACAUCAGCAGUCAUGGCAACAUACCAGGAAUUCAUUCAACAAAACGAAGAGCGUGACGGUGUUCGGUUCAGCUGGAACGUGUGGCCAUCCAGUCGACUUGAGGCUACGCGCAUGGUGGUUCCUUUGGCUUGUCUCUUUACGCCUUUAAAAGAACGCCCAGAUCUGCCGCCAAUACAAUAUGAACCUGUUCUGUGCAGCAGAGCUACCUGUAGGGCUGUCCUUAAUCCAUUGUGUCAAGUGGACUACAGAGCAAAACUAUGGGCAUGCAAUUUUUGUUUUCAGAGAAACCAGGUAAGGCUUGAAGAAUUUUAACCACCUAGUGUGUGAGUUGUCAAAAUAAAAGAUAAGAGUUGACUAGGAAGAAAUUUUUUUUUUUUAAAAAAAACUGAACUCUUGUUCCAGCCCUAAGUUCUGUUAUUCAUUUAAAUGUUCCACACUUAGAAUCCACGGAAUACAGUGGAUAUUUGAAGGACCGGAUGUUACAGGUUUCUAUCGUUUGAAGUUUAGAAAGAUGAGAGAUGACCUUAUUGAAAGAAAAGAUCCUGAGGAGAUUUAAUAGGGUGGAUUCUGAGGGGAUGUUUUCCUUUAUAGGAGAAACUAGAACUAGGGUACUCAGUUUAAGAAGAAGAGGUGAGAUAAGAUUAUUUUUCUCUUAAAGAGAAAACAGUGGAGAUUAGGUCAUUGAGUUAACUGAAGUUGAGCCCACUCCUCCACUGAGUGAGAUCACGACUGAUCUAAUCUUAAUCUCAACUCAAACAUCACAACUCCCUCCAAUAGUCUUUCACCCCUUUGUUUAUCAAGAAUCUGCCUAUCUCUGCCUUUAAAAAUAUUCAAAGAUUCUGCCUCCACCACCUUUUGAGGACAAGUUCCAAAGAUACUGAAGCCACUAGGAGAAAAAUUUGCCUGAUCCCUGUCUUAAAUGGGCGACCCCUAAUUUUGAACCAGUGACCUCCUAGUAUUAGAUUCUCCCACGAGAGGAAACCUUUCUUUCCACAUCUAUACUAUCAAGUACCUCAGGAAUUUGAAUAUUUCAAUCAAUCUUCUAAAUUCCAAUGGAUACAAGCCUGGCGUAUCUAGCCUUUCAUCAUAAGACAUCUCAUUCAUUCCCAUGAAGACAUUCUAGUAAGCCUUCUCUGAAGUACCUCCAUUGAAUUUCUGUCCUUCCUUAAUUAAGGGGACUGAUACCGUAACAGUACUCCAGAUGUUGUCUCAGCAAUUCCCUACGUAAUUGUGCACUUUUGUGUUCAAUUCCCUUUGCAGUAAACAAUAACAUUCCAUCAGCGCUCCUGUAUGGUCAUACUAACCUUUUGAGCACUCGGACAUCCAGAUUUCUCUGAAUCUCAGCACUCUGCAAUCUCUCUCCAUACAUAAACAUACUUUUUUAUUGUUCUCGCCAAAUAGUCAAUUUCACAUUUUCCUACAUUAUAUU